AGGACGAACGCUGGCGGCGUGCUUAACACAUGCAAGUCACGGGGGUGUCGCAAGACACAACCGGCGAACGGGUGCGUAACACGUGAGCAACCUACCGAUUUGAGGGGGAUAGCCGGCCCAACGGCCGGGUAAUACCGCAUACGCUUGUCGAGGGACAUCCCUUGACAAGGAAACCUCCGGGGCAGAUCGAGGGGCUCGCGGCCUAUCAGCUAGUUGGCGAGGUCAUGGCUCACCAAGGCGACGACGGGUAGC
rnacentral:rRNA from 1 species